rnacentral:tRNA from 1 species
ACCUGGUUAGCUCAGUUGGUAGAGCGCUCCACUUGUAAUGGAGAGGUCCCGGGUUCAAUACCCGGACCAGGCG